rnacentral:rRNA from 1 species
AACGAACGCUGGCGGCAUGCCUAACACAUGCCAGUCGAACGAGACCUUCGGGUCUAGUGGCGCACGGGUGCGUAACGCGUGGGAACCUGCCCUUAGGUUCGGAAUAACUCCCCGAAAGGGGUGCUAAUACCGGAUAAUGUCUUCGGACCAAAGAUUUAUCGCCUUUGGAUGGGCCCGCGUUGGAUUAGCUAGUUGGUAGGGUAAAAGCCUAUCAAGGCGACGAUCCAUAGCUGGUCUGAGAGGAUGAUCAGCCACACUGGGACUGAGACACGGCCCAGACUCCUACGGGAGGCAGCAGUGGGGAAUAUUGGACAAUGGGCGAAAGCCUGAUCCAGCAAUGCCGCGUGAGUGAUGAAGGCCUUAGGGUUGUAAAGCUCUUUUACCCGGGAUGAUAAUGACAGUACCGGGAGAAUAAGCUCCGACUAACUCCGUG